CCCUUAGAUGUCCUGGGCCGCACGCGCGCUACACUGAUGCAUUCAACGAGUUUCACCUUGGCCGAGAGGCCUGGCAAUCUUUUAAACCUGCGUCGUGAUAGGGAUAGAUUAUUGCAAUUAUUAAUCUUGAACGAGGAAUUCCUAGUAAACGCAAAUCAUCAAUUUGCAUUGAUUACGUCCCUGCCCUUUGUACACACCGCCCGUCGCACCUACCGAUUGAAUGGUCCGGUGAAGCCUCGGGAUUGUGGCCAGUUCACUUUAUUGGGAGUUGGCUGUGAGAACUUGUCUAAACCUUACCAUUUAGAGGAAGGUGAAGUCGUAACA
rnacentral:rRNA from 1 species